rnacentral:rRNA from 1 species
UACGAAGGGGGCUAGCGUUGUUCGGAAUCACUGGGCGUAAAGCGCACGCAGGCGGAUCGUUAAGUCAGGGGUGAAAUCCCGAGGCUCAACCUCGGAACUGCCUUUGAUACUGGCGAUCUCGAGUCCGGAAGAGGUGAGUGGAACUCCUAGUGUAGAGGUGGAAUUCGUAGAUAUUAGGAAGAACACCAGUGGCGAAGGCGGCUCACUGGUCCGGUACUGACGCUGAGGUGCGAAAGCGUGGGGAGCAAACAGG